UAUUGGUCAAUGGUCGGGAGACUGAACCAGCCAAGCCGCGUGAGGGAGGAAUGUCCUAUGGAUUGUAAACCUCUUUUGUCAGGGAGCAAAGUCACCCACGUGUGGGUGUUGGAGAGUACCUGAAGAAAAAGCAUCGGCUAACUCCGUGCCAGCAGCCGCGGUAAUACGGAGGAUGCGAGCGUUAUCCGGAUUUAUUGGGUUUAAAGGGUGCGUAGGCGGGUUAUCAAGUCAGCGGUAAAAUCGUGGAGCUCAACUCCAUCCAGCCGUUGAAACUGAUGAUCUUGAGUGGGCGAGAAGUAUGCGGAAUGCGUGGUGUGGCGGUGAAAUGCAUAGAUAUCACGCAGAACUCCGAUUGCGAAGGCAGCAUACCGGCGCCCGACUGACGCUGAAGCACGAAAGCAUGGGUAUCGAACAGG
rnacentral:rRNA from 1 species